rnacentral:rRNA from 1 species
AGUGAACGCUGGCGGUAGGCCUAACACAUGCAAGUCGAACGGCAGCACAGUAAGAGCUUGCUCUUACGGGUGGCGAGUGGCGGACGGGUGAGGAAUACAUCGGAAUCUACUUUUUCGUGGGGGAUAACGUAGGGAAACUUACGCUAAUACCGCAUACGACCUACGGGUGAAAGCAGGGGAUCUUCGGACCUUGCGCGAUUGAAUGAGCCGAUGUCGGAUUAGCUAGUUGGCGGGGUAAAGGCCCACCAAGGCGACGAUCCGUAGCUGGUCUGAGAGGAUGAUAGGCCACACUGGAACUGAGACACGGUCCAGACUCCUACGGGAGGCAGCAGUGGGGAAUAUUGGACAAUGGGCGCAAGCAUGAUCCAGCCAUACCGCGUGGGUGAAGAAGGCCUUCGGGUUGUAAAGCCCUUUUGUUGGGAAAGAAAAGCAGCAGGUUAAUACCCCGCUGUUCUGACGGUACCCAAAGAAUAAGCACCGGCUAACUUCGUG